rnacentral:rRNA from 1 species
AUACGUAGGGUGCAAGCGUUAAUCGGAAUUACUGGGCGUAAAGCGUGCGCAGGCGGUUUUGUAAGACAGAGGUGAAAUCCCCGGGCUCAACCUGGGAACUGCGCUUGUGACUGGUCAGCUAGAGUACGGCAGAGGGGGGUGGAAUUCCACGUGUAGCAGUGAAAUGCGUAGAGAUGUGGAGGAACACCGAUGGCGAAGGCAGCCCCCUGGGCCGAUACUGACGCUCAUGCACGAAAGCGUGGGUAGC